rnacentral:rRNA from 1 species
AACGAACGCUGGCGGCAGGCUUAACACAUGCAAGUCGAACGAGAUCUUCGGAUCUAGUGGCAGACGGGUGAGGAACACGUGGGAACAUCCCUUUCAGUUCGGAAUAACGUUGGGAAACUAACGCUAAUACAGGAUACGUCCUUCGGGAGAAAGAUUUAUCGCUGAAAGAUUGGCCCGCGUCUGAUUAGCUAGUUGGUGAGGUAAUGGCUCACCAAGGCUACGAUCAGUAGCUGAUCUGAGAGGAUGAUCAGCCACAUUGGGACUGAGACACGGCCCAAACUCCUACGGGAGGAGCAAGUGGGGAAUAUUGGACAAGGGGCGCAAGCCUAAUCCAGCCAUGCCGCGUGAGUGAUGACGGCCUUCGGGUUGUAAAGCUCUUUUGUCCGGGAAGAUAAUGACUGUACCGGAAGAAUAGCCCCGGCAAACUUCGUGCCAGCCGCCGCGGUAA